rnacentral:lncRNA from 1 species
UAGUGUCCAUCCACUGUUCCUGGUUCUGCUAAAUUUGACUUGAAUGAGGGGUGAUGGUGCCCAGAUGGUUCCGAGAGCCUCAGAUGCAUUGCUUUCUCGAGUUCUUUGCCUUGGGCUCUCCAGUUCCUUGGGGUGAGUAAGAACGUUGUCCCUUCUACAUCAAUAUGCUCCUCCUCCUGAGGCAUCCAACGUUCACAUUAACUACACUCCGUUUCCAAGACUCGGAGAGGCAUGAUUCAAAUGCACACGUGACCUCAUUCACCCACUCAGCCAGGAAUCCUAGAGCAGUCUUCAUGGUUCAACAAUGACAGCGCUGACACUAGGAGAGCUCAUUUCAAAUGAUCCUGAAGGAGAGAGAGAGAGAGAGAGAAGGAGAGAGAGCUAAAGAAAUGAGGAAGGAGGAGGCGGAGGGAAAGCAGAUCAGAAUAUAUGCAGUGGCCAAAAUGUGCUCCUGCAUUACUGCAACAGAACUGAAAUGCAAUGAGAGCCCGCUGCAGUCUCCCAGCAAGGACUUCCUACCUCUUCACAUCCUGAGGCUAGGCGUUCGCUCCAAGCCACCUGACCAGCGAGAAAGGACUGGGCCUGGGGGAAUGGGAGCCGGAGCAACAUAG